rnacentral:lncRNA from 1 species
UGUGGCUGGCUGUGCGAAUGGAGUGCCUGCAUUUGAGGGGACUAAGGUAAGGGUCACAAAGCAGAGCCCGCUGAAGAGAGCGAAAGCAAGGCAAGGAUAGAGCAAAGAGUUUCGGUGAGCUGGCUGAGGAUAAAGGUGAGGGCGUAUGGCCAGUAAAAAGGAAGUUUGGCGAUAACUGAAGAGGAAAGGGAGGAACGAAAUCAGGAGCCGGUACUUGAGCCCUGCACCGCAUUCCGCCCCUUCCCCUGUGCUUCUUGGCCCACCGGCUCAGCAGCCUGCAGCGCCUAGGCUGUCCCACGCUGCCGCUGCUAGUUGCUGUGGAAGAGAGGUCCAACAAAGCUGCAAGUACCGAGUAGCCUGGUCUACGGACAUCGGAGGACUCACAUCUCAAGAAAACACUGGUCCUCGGCAGCUUCAGUUAUGAGGAUUGGCCCACAACUGAGUGUCUAAUAAGAGCUGACUUGCUG